GGAAAAGAAACUAACAAGGAUUCCCCUAGUAACUGCGAGUGAAGCGGGAAAAGCUCAAAUUUAAAAUCUGGCGGUCUUUGGCCGUCCGAGUUGUAGUCUGGAGAAGUGCUUUCCGCGCUGGACCGUGUAUAAGUCUCUUGGAACAGAGCGUCAUAGAGGGUGAGAAUCCCGUCUUUGACACGGACUACCAGUGCUUUGUGAUGCGCUCUCAAAGAGUCGCGUUGUUUGGGAAUGCAGCGCAAAAUGGGUGGUGAAUUCCAUCUAAAGCUAAAUAUUGGCGAGAGACCGAUAGCGAACAAGUACCGUGAGGGAAAGAUGAAAAGCACUUUGGAAAGAGAGUUAAACAGUACGUGAAAUUGCUGAAAGGGAAACGCUUGAAGUCAGUCGCGUUGUCCGGGACUCAGCCUUGCUUCGGCUUGGUGCACUUUCCGGAUGACGGGCCAGCAUCGAUUUUGACCGCUGGAAAAGGGCUGGAGGAAUGUGGCACCUUCGGGCGUGUUAUAGCCUCCAGUCGCAUACGGCGGUUGGGAUCGAGGAACGCAGCACGCCUUACGGCGGGGGUUCGCCCACCUUCGUGCUUAGGAUGCUGGCAUAAUGGCUUUAAACGACCCGUCUUGAAACACGGACCAAG
rnacentral:rRNA from 1 species